rnacentral:rRNA from 1 species
GGGUCAGUAGGCUGGUCGUGCCACCGGUACGUACUGGUCUCACUGAUUCCUCCUUCCUGAAGAACCGUAAUGCCAUUAAUUUGGUGUUGCGGGGAAACAGGACUGUUACUUUGAAAAAAUUAGAGUGUUUAAAGCAAGCUAACGCUUGAAUACAUUAGCAUGGAAUAAUGAAAUAGGACGAUCGAUCCUAUUUUGUUUGUUUCUAGGAUUGACGUA